AUUAGAACGCUGGCGGCAUGCCUUACACAUGCAAGUCGAACGGCAGCACGGGAGCAAUCCUGGUGGCGAGUGGCGAACGGGUGAGUAAUAUAUCGGAACGUGCCCGGUCGUGGGGGAUAACGUAGCGAAAGCUACGCUAAUACCGCAUACGAUCUACGGAUGAAAGCGGGGGAUCGCAAGACCUCGCGCGAUUGGAGCGGCCGAUAUCAGAUUAGGUAGUUGGUGAGGUAAAGGCUCACCAAGCCGACGAUCUUUAGCUGGUCUGAGAGGACGACCAGCCACACUGGGACUGAGACACGGCCCAGACUCCUACGGGAGGCAGCAGUGGGGAAUUUUGGACAAUGGGCGCAAGCCUGAUCCAGCAAUGCCGCGUGCAGGAUGAAGGCCUUCGGGUUGUAAACUGCUUUUGUACGGAACGAAACGGUGAGCUCUAAUACAGUUUGCUAAUGACGGUACCGUAAGAAUAAGCACCGGCUAACUACGUG
rnacentral:rRNA from 1 species